UACGAAGGGGGCUAGCGUUGCUCGGAUUUACUGGGCGUAAAGCGCACGUAGGCGGCUCGUUAAGUUGGGGGUGAAAUCCUGGAGCUCAACUCCAGAACUGCCUUCAAUACUGGCGAUCUAGAGUCCGGAAGAGGUGAGUGGAACUCCUAGUGUAGAGGUGGAAUUCGUAGAUAUUAGGAAGAACACCAGUGGCGAAGGCGGCUCACUGGUCCGGUACUGACGCUGAGGUGCGAAAGCGUGGGGAGCAAACAGG
rnacentral:rRNA from 1 species